AAUGCAACAAAAUAGGAAAAACAUCAAGGGGGAUGAAUACUUUUGCAAGGCGCUGUAACCGCUGAUGAUAUAAAUGAAUGAGGAAACUAGUAGAAGAUAAGUAUUCAGCUCUCUCCCUCACACACACCAACAAGGCACUCUGACAACCCACGAGAUGGAGAAAUUCCUACUAGUACUUGAAGUGAUUACAACAUGCUGUGCUGUAACUCAAAGAUCAGGAUUCGUUCAGCGGGCGUUCCAACCAGCAUUAGUCAUGUGUUGGUCUGCUGACAAAUGUCCACAUUUGGGACUACGUGUUGUCUCCCUGUGAGAUCCAGAGGUGCAUCAACCAGAUGAACUUGACCACCGGCGACAUGCUCAACUGGAAGGCCUUGGACAACCAUUAUCACUCAAACAAAUAAUAAUCAAGUGUCUAUUAUGCUAUCUGGUAACUUUCCAUAAUUGUGUAAAUUGAAAAGGCCAUAUCACGAUAGUAUACCAUAAGAAACUGACAAUGUAACUAAACGGUGUCGGUUGCGUGAAUUAGCUGUCAGUGGUUCUAUCAUGCUAGGAUAAAUAUAACCUUGCUACGGCUGUAAGAGCUGCUCUAAGGCGUGAAAUUAAACAUUAGUGCAAAGGCAGGAUGUAAGCCAGUGUUUUUCACAAUGUUACUGAUGUUGUUACAACUUAAUACCGUCCUGAAGAUAUGCACUGAUAUCUAAUUUUGUAGAUCAGGAUUCAUUCAUGCACUAUACACACACACACACACACACACAC